UGGGGAAUAUUGGACAAUGGGCGGAAGCCUGAUCCAGCAACGCCGCGUGAGGGAUGACGGCCUUCGGGUUGUAAACCUCUUUCAUCAUCGACGAAGCUCACGGUUGACGUGGGUGACGGUAGGUGGAGAAGAAGCACCGGCCAACUACGUGCCAGCAGCCGCGGUAAUACGUAGGGUGCGAGCGUUGUCCGGAAUUAUUGGGCGUAAAGGGCUCGUAGGCGGUUUGUCGCGUCGGGAGUGAAAACACUGGGCUUAACCGAGUGCUUGCUUUCGAUACGGGCAGACUUGAGGCAUUCAGGGGAGAACGGAAUUCCUGGUGUAGCGGUGAAAUGCGCAGAUAUCAGGAGGAACACCGGUGGCGAAGGCGGUUCUCUGGGAAUGUUCUGACGCUGAGGAGCGAAAGUGUGGGGAGCGAACAGG
rnacentral:rRNA from 1 species